rnacentral:rRNA from 1 species
AUUGAACGCUGGCGGCAGGCCUAACACAUGCAAGUCGGGCGAGCGGCGGCCGGGUGAGAAAUGUAUGUGGAUAAGCCUGAUUGAGGGGGAGAACUACUUGAAACGGUAGCUAAUACCGCAUGCCAGCAGAUGAACCCCUAUGGGAUUAGCUUGUAGGUUAGGUAACGGAUCACCUAGGCGACGAUCCCUUGCUGGGCUGAGAGGAUGAUAAGCCACACUGGGACGGAGACACGGCCCAGACUACUACGGGAGGCAGCAGAGGGGAGUAUUGCACAAUUGGAGCAAGGCUGAUGCAACCAUGCCGCGUGUAGGAAGAAGGCCGGCGGGUUGGAAAGUACUUUCAGUCGGGAGGCGUUACCGACAGAAGAAGCACCGGCUAACUCCGUGCCAGCCGCCGCGGUAAUAC